GUAUUCGCUUUGGCAGCACAUAUACUAAAAUUGGAACGAUACAGAGAAGAUUAGCAUGGCCCCUGUGCAAGGAUGACAUGCAAAAUUCAUGAAGCUUAAAUAGAGAAA
rnacentral:snRNA from 1 species